rnacentral:lncRNA from 10 species
UAGUUAGCUUGACACAGCCAAAUAUUAACAAUUGUUAUUAACAUGCAAUAAGAAUAUAAGUGAUUCUAAAUUUAUUUCCUUCUGUAAAUCUGCAUUUUCUAAAUUUUCUACAGUGAGUAUGGAUUACCUUGGGUGUACGAAAAAAAUAAAAUAUAUUUAAAAACAGAUGUGCUUUGUUUAAAGUAGCAGAACAUUUUUUUUCAAAUAGAAUUGUAUGUGAUAUCCCAAUUUCUGAAACCAAUAAAAGGGGUGAAGUAUGGGUAGGCGGCCGAGAGCCCUGCUCACUAGACGGAUGUUCUUGAGGGCGCACUUUGAAAGGUCAGGGCCUGGGGAAUUCUGCUGAGAAAUCAUUCCAUGUUAAUACCAUCUCUAGGAGCUACAUUAAGUGUUGUUAGUGAACCCAUACAAGGCUCCACGAUUGCUGGUUACCUCUGUAG